UUUUCAACACUCUCUUUUCCGGCCAUCAUAGAUCGUUUUAGGGAGUGGUCUUGGAUCUCGUUUUGCAAUUAGGCCAAUACCAGAUCAAGAGUGGUAGACCGUGGUGGAUCUUGAAAGACUGCCUGUAGAUGUUGCUUGUCCUGUUGUAAAAUUGUAGUCCUUGUCAUUGUCUAUCACUAUGUUCCUGUAUUUUGUAUUUCUAGACUUCUUGUAUCUUUGCAUUGUGUACUUUGUAGAGUCUGUAAUCCUGUAACCCAGUUGGCUUGUUAUAGUUUUGUUUGUCCUAAAUCAGGUUCUGAAGCCUUGCAUGUCUACUUGGUUCACGCCUUGUGGAUCUGCGGCUGUUUGUCUGCGCACCGGGUCCGGCGAGCCGGGUUCGGGGCGCGACAAAUAGAGCUUAUGACCAGUGCUAGAAGUAAAGACAUGGAGA